rnacentral:lncRNA from 1 species
CACAGAAGCUGAUGCAGGAGCUGAGGAUAGCCCUUCCAGUCAGCAACUCACUGGCCCUUCCCCUUUCUAAGCCUUUCUUGAUAACAAUGUCUACCCUCUCCGUAUCUGUGUCUAGAGGCUGAACACCCCAUUCUAGAGCUGAAUGCUCUCUGUCAGAGUCCUCCAGCAGACGAAAAUCAUAAUAGGGGCCAACCCGUGUCUAAGCCUCAGAGAGCAGCUAAGUGAAACCCUUCUCUAUGAAGAAGAAGGUAAGGUUAGGCUCAUAUGCAGAAGGGACUCAGACUUACUCCUCUAGCCAAAAGCUGAACUGAACUUGGUGUGAAGCUUUCUUGCAGUAAGCAAAGCACUUAAGACAAUGUUGACCCUAGGGGCAGACUCCGUGAGUUCAAAUCCCGGCUUUACCUCUGUCAGCUGGGAGAGCUGAACAACCACCUUCGCAUUUCCAGACUCAGCUACUCUCUCUAUAAAAACAAAGGCUAUUGCUGAGCAGGGGUGCUGAUGUCUUUGAUUGUAGCACUUGGGAGGCAGAGGCAGGUGGAUUUCUGUGUAUUCAAGGUCAGCCUGGUCUUUAGAGUGAGUUACAGUACAGUCAGGGCUACCCAGAGAAACCCUGUCUCGAAAAGCUACACAAACAAACAAAUAAAACAACAACACCCACAACAGAAACAAAAACUAAAGACUACCUUAGAACCCAUCUCACUAAAUUAUUAUUUUGAUGAAAUGAAAUCAAAGAAAAA